ACCAAAUAACAAACACUGAAGUCUAAUUCACCUUCUAAAAACAUAAUAAUUUAAAGAUGGAUCAAAUGUGGAUAAUAACACUUGUUUUGGGGCUAUUGCCGGAGGUGGGUUGGGUGAUUUGGUGGUGGAAUGAGAUUUGAUAUAUUUGGCCUAUUCUAUCUAACUACGUCGUGCUAAUUCUGAUACCAAAUUCACUUUACCACCUGACUACUUGGGUCUUCUUUUUUUCGACGAGACACUUCUGUUUCAAUGGUUUUUCAAUAUUGUUCCCCGAUCCGAUGAUUUUAUCAAAUCAAGAAUCGAAAAGUAUGGUGGGGUUUACAGAAUACAUUUAUAUGGAUCUUCGAGUAUAAUAGUGUGUGAUUCUUCUAUUUGCAAACAUAUUCUGAACUUAAACGAGAAUUUCAAGGCUGAAUGGCCAACCAAUAAAGUGUUAGGACGAUAUCAAUCAAAGGGGAACGUCAUGAUAUUGAUUGUGAAUUGCUUCUCGUGCCCAGAUGCACUUGCUUGGGUUAUGCUCAAAGUCCAACCUUGUAUAAUUUCUACCCUUCAAUCAUGGUCUCAAAGAUCUUCAAUCAAAACUUUCUAUGAUCUUAAGAAGCUUAUAAUCAAUUACAGGUAACACUUGACUGCACUUUACGAUAUGUUGUUCGUUUUGAGUAUGACACUCAUCAAAUUAAAGAUCUUGUUAAAGCAUAUGAGGGUUUAAACUUGGAUUUUAGGGCCACACCAUUACAUACAUAAGAAGACCAUUAAUUCCCAGAUCAUAAAAGAGGACCAUUAAUUCCCAGUAUUAGAAGAAAAGAUGCUAAUAAUAAUAAUAGCAUUGGAAAUGGGAAGACUCAACAACAACAAUUUCUCAAGGGGAGAUGCUGAAUUUCUUCAUUACCAAUAAUGCAAGAAUCAACUAAUUUUAAGUCUUUCUUUCAUCGUUUUUUUUAGUUACUUAGUUAGUUAGUUAGUUUCAACAACUUUAUAGUUAGUUAGUUAGUUAGUGAUGAUCAAGUGUUUGAUAGGUAUUAUUUCUUUUUAAUAAUGCCUGCAAAUAAGUAAUGAUCAAUUUACUCAAUAAUGCAUAUUAAUGCUUGCAUACUAUCGUUCUUUUUUGUAAUAGAAUGCAACUCUACCUAAUAAUAA